ACAGGAAUUCUCAAAUGCCAAAAGCCAUUUUCUAAGUGAUCAAUUGCCUUCUAUUUAAUCCAGAUUAAUUUUGCUAUAUUCCUAUGCAAAAUAAUUGAAUUAAACUCGUUACAAUCCCAAUUCCUUAUGUGUUACAUGUGGCGAAAAGAUAUUUCCAUUCUAUUCACAAACCUAAUUAUUCACUGUGCAAAUAACUAAGUCACAUGAUAUCAUGCCCAGUUCUAACCCUAGAAUUCCUCUUUCAAUUCCUUCUAGAGUAACAAGGUAAUUA
rnacentral:lncRNA from 1 species